rnacentral:rRNA from 1 species
GACGAACGCUGGCGGCGUGCUUAACACAUGCAAGUCGAACGGUAAGGCCCUUCGGGGUACACGAGUGGCGAACGGGUGAGUAACACGUGGGUGAUCUGCCCUGCACUUCGGGAUAAGCCUGGGAAACUGGGUCUAAUACCGGAUAGGACCACUGCCUGCAUGGGUGGUGGUGGAAAGCUUUUGCGGUGUGGGAUGGGCCCGCGGCCUAUCAGCUUGUUGGUGGGGUGAUGGCCUUCCAAGGCGACGACGGGGAGCCGGGCUGAGAGGGUGACCGGCCACACUGGGACUGACAUACGGCCCAGACUCCUACUGGAGGCAGCAGUGGGGAAUAUUGCACAAUGGGCGCAAGCCUGAUGCAGCGACGCCGCGUGAGGGAUGACGGCCUUCGGGUUGUAAACCUCUUUCAGCACCGACGAAGCGCAAGUGACGGUAGGUGCAGAAGAAGGACCGGCCAACUACGUGCCAGCAGCCGCGGUAAGAC